rnacentral:tRNA from 1 species
GCGGUAGCACGGGGGACUUUGAAUCCCUUAGCCCAGGUUCGAAUCCUGGCUCGGCAGCCA